UACGUAGGGUGCAAGCGUUGUCCGGAAUUAUUGGGCGUAAAGAGCUUGUAGGCGGUUUGUCGCGUCUGCUGUGAAAUUUCGGGGCUCAACCCCGAACUUGCAGUGGGUACGGGCAGACUAGAGUGUGGUAGGGGGGACUGGAAUUCUCGGUGUAGCAGUGAAAUGCGUAGAUAUCGAGAGGAACACCAGUGGCGAAGGCGAGUCCCUGGACAACACCUGACACUGAGGCACGAAAGCUAGGGGAGCAAACAGG
rnacentral:rRNA from 1 species